GUCAGGAAUAUUGGGCAAUGGGCGAAAGCCUGACCCAGCAACGCCGCGUGAAGGAUGAAGGCCCUCGGGUCGUAAACUUCUGUCGAGAGGGAAGAAUGCGUACGGGUGAACAAUCCGUGCGUUUGACGGUACCUCCAAAGGAAGCACCGGCUAACUCCGUGCCAGCAGCCGCGGUAAUACGGAGGGUGCAAGCGUUGUUCGGAUUCAUUGGGCGUAAAGCGAGUGUAGGCGGUUUGACAAGUCGGAUGUGAAAUCCCGGGGCCCAACCCCGGAACUGCAUCCGAUACUGUCUGGCUAGAGUCCCGGAGAGGGUGGCGGAAUUCCCGGUGUAGGGGUGAAAUCCGUAGAUAUCGGGAGGAACACCAGUGGCGAAGGCGGCCACCUGGACGGUGACUGACGCUGAGACUCGAAAGCGUGGGUAGCAAACAGGAUUAGAAACCCCAGUAGUCC
rnacentral:rRNA from 1 species